CCUCACAGCCUCUCCUUUACGAGCCUUAAAUUAUUCAGUCGGGAUGCUGUGUCGCGUGAGACGCCGCCUCCCGCCGCUCCAACAAAAGCCGUCCUUAAUGUUUUAUACGGGGGGACAGGAGAUACGCGCUUUCACACAGGCGCGGUCCCGGGGGAGAAGGCGGCGGUGAGCGGGGCCCCGGUUUCUGUCAGCGUAUUUCCCCGGUGACUCCUGGAAGCAGGCAGUAACCCAAAUAUCGAUGCUGGCCUCUGGACGGCUUGUACUAACGUGAACUUCUGAGGUGACUAGCUGAUAUUUCCAUUUGUGGCAGCCUCAAGUGGUUUUGGUUCCUUUGUCAUGAGCAGCACCCCAGGCUGGUUCGUCUGCCCAGAAAAUCACAGAAUCACGGAAUAGAUCAAGUUGGAAGGGACCACAGUGGGUCAUCUGGCCCGACCUCCGUGCUUAAGUAGGGUCAUCCUAGAGCACACAGCACUGGAUUGUGUCCAGACGAUUCUCGUAUUUUUCCAGGGAGACUCCACAGCCUCCCUGGGCAAUCCUUUCUAGUGUGUGGUCACCCCCACAGUAAAGAAGUUCUUCCUCAUAGUUGGGUGGAACUUCCUGUGCAUCAGUUUCUGUCUGUUGCCUCUUGUCCUAUUGCUUGGCACCACUCAACUUGUCUAUGAAGAUGUUGUGAGGGACAAUGUUGAAAGCUUUGCUGAAGUUGAGGUAGACACUAUCCACUACUCUCCUCUCAUCCAUCCAGGUAGUUGUUUCAUUGUAGAAGGCAACCAAGUUGGUUAAGGAUGAUUUCCCUUCAGUGAAUACAUGCUGACUACUCCUGAUCACCAUCUUGUCAUCCAUGUAAGUAGACAUGGCUUCCAGGAUGUGAUGUCCAAUCACCUUUCCAGGACUGAGGUGAGGCUGACUGGCCAGUGGUUCCCUGGGUCCUCCUUCUUGUUCUGUUUGAACACUGUGGUGACAUUUGCAUUCUUCCAGUCCUCAGGCACCUUUCCUGAUCUCCAUGGCCUUUCAAAGAUGAUGAUGGUCAGCAGUCUAGUUAUAUUAUCUGCCAGCUUUUUCAGCACUCAUGGAUGUGUCCUCUCGGGGUCUGUGGACUUGUGGAUGUCAAAUUUCCCUAGGUGUUCUCUAAGUAGUUCCUCCUUGACCAAGGGAAAAUCUUCCUUCCAGCAUUCUUUUACCCAGGUCCACUCAGAGAUCCCCGAUGGCUGGUCUUGCCAGUGAAGACCAGUGCAAAGAAGGUGCACAGGAGCUCUACCUUCUUUGCAUCCUCUGUUACCAGGGUCCCUUUUUCAUUAACAGGCCCAUAUUAUCCUUAGUUUUCCUUUUGUUAUUGAUGUAUUUGUAGACACCCUUCUUGUUGUCCUUGACAUCCUUGGACAGAUUUAAUUCUAACAGCCUUCCUUGUCUCAUUUCUAGUAACUCUGAAAAAAUGACCGAAUAUUGUGCAAAAAAGAUCAAGUAUGACCUACCCUGGCCUUCCCUUGGCUUGUGCUGGUGGAGGUGUGGGGCAAGUUUGUGCCCUCAGGAAGGUUAAAUUUAAGGAAGCAUUUGGCACAAGUUGUCUUGCAUGGCAGGCACAAACUGUGAACAUGCAUAUGAAAAAUGUUUUCACUGCCUGCUUAAUACCCAAGUCAGGUUUUAGUUUGGUGAACUAAUAUUUUCAUAAAGUUAAGAUGGAGUUUGUGGUUGUAAGGAUACAGUCUAAAGAGUGCUAAUCUUGGGAAUGAAAGUUCAUGGUAUCAGCUCUAUAAAAAGGUCUAUUUUCGUGUUUAAUGUGUUAGAAUAUGUUAAUAGAAUUAAUAAUAGACUAUAUUGGUUUCUUCCUAACAGCCAACUGUUCACAUGAGGUAACGGGAGAAUAUGUACACGAUAAUGGCUUCUGUUAGUGAAUAUCUGUGUAGGAGAUAGAUACUAACAUACAUAUUAGAUUAAAAAAUGUAAGAAGCAAAUUAAUCACGUCUGAGUGGCAUUGUUAGGAUUACUUGAAUACUUAGUCUUUUGGAGGUGCAAGAAAUGAAUUUUAGGUAUUGCAAUACAUUCAGGAAAUCAGUGAAAAGAAAGAGGUGUUAAUGGUGAAGAUGUUCAGGACUGCCAUAGUUUCUUGGGCACACAGCAAAUGUGAGAUUGCUGUAUGAUAUUAUCUAGGCUGUCGGUUUAAUUAGCUCCAGUUCAAGAAAAUGCGAAGACUGUAAACCAAGCUGGAUAGAAAGGAAGACAUUUAAAAUGGCUGUAUUUCUGGGAAACACCAUUAGCUAAUAUUUAUGUAUUGUUUAACAUAAAAGUCAAGGCAUAUGUGGAAAAAAAUGAGGUGUAAUUUACAAGAAAGAUUAUUCAGACUUGUUAGGUCCUGCACCUGUGAAACAUUGAUUGCUUCAUUAUGCUUCCCUGUGGAGCACUUGAGCAAACUUGGCACUGCUUUACAGAGCCUCUCCCACUCUCUUAUGCCAGACAGAACCUGUGGCUGUAUACCAGCAUCUCAUUUAUCUAAAGAUAACAGAAUAGGAGCCAUUUUAUCUGGAUUCACUGUGAGUAGAAUUGGAACUGAAAGGAUUAGGCAAGGCAGGGUUGGAAUCCCGUGUCUGUUCAGGCUCAGAACCCUUUUCUGCAGUGCAGCAACCCGUGUGAGGUUUUGUGUUCCCCUCGGAUUUUUCUUAUAUAAGGGUGUACUAGACAUGCAUGGGAUAAUUAGAAUCAGCAGGAAAAGUGACUGCCUACCCCUCAUCUUGUUUUUGGAGGCUUCUCACUGCACUAAAAAUGUAUCUGCUGCUAAUUUAGUCCUAAUUAUGAGGCAGACUUGUGGUUGAAUGACUCCUGUGUAAGGAGGAUAUGCACUUCAGCAGAACAGUUGUGGUUUCUGUAAGUGAGAAUCUGACUUUUAGAUAUUUGAAUAAAUAAAAUCUGCUGUCUUUUGAAUGCUUAGAUUUUCAGUCUGGCAGAUUUAGCUACAGGAGAUAAAUGCUGUUUUGUUCACUCAUCUCCAGAGGUUCCUAUCUCUGCCUCAGUGGUGCAAGAACUGGAAAGGAGUUGCUUGAUCCCCUGGAGCUCAGUCUCUGUUUUGGUUUUGUCUGAUUCUAUUCUCAAGGUGUGCAGAGCUCUCUGAUUUAAAUAAAUCAGUCAAGUUAUUUAGUGUAGAAGAAACUUACUCUCAAAUAAAUUGAUACCUGGACCCUAAACGCUAAAAAAUUAAUCCUGGCUUAAUACUUUCUUCCAUAUCAUGAUAUGUUAACUCUUGUCAGAGAGUUGGUUCUGGCAAAUUGCCAAUGCAUGCCUCCUUAGAGCAGUUUGCUAUCAUUUGAUAAUGACAGUGGAAGUAAUGAGCAAUGACCAUAGCUUGUGAUUGUUUUGGAGGAUUUGAAAAAGAAACUGUGGCCAAGCUCUGUCAAACUGUACGUGACACAGAAACUCCAGAGUAAGAGGACACACUCCUGAGUGAUAAAAGUUCUGAAUGCCAGGAUUCCCAGUAAUAUGCAGUGAGGAGUGCUCUAUAUGAAACAAUCAAAUCUGCAGCUGCUCAUAUUGGUGGAAUAUACUUGAAAACUAUAUGCUUUUAUUUUGAUCAAGUCUUACAAACACACACAAAAAGUACAGAGAAGCUUUUGCUGUGAUAAUUGUUCAUUUAUAUAGAUAUGGUAAAGCAAGUAUUUGAAGACCAACCUGUCACUAACAGAGACCCAUUGUUGUGCGAAAAUGUGGGCUAGGUUUUUCUUUGGUUGAUGAAAUGCAGACUGGGGAGAGAAAGAGAAAGCAGUGUACUGUAAAAUUACUGAUUCCUGUUUAGUACUCGCAGUACUAGUGAUGCCAUGUAGGCAAAAACUGACAUGGUCCUGCUCUGAAGAGUACAUAAAAUCUCAGAGAAGGUUGGGCGUUUUCAGUAGUUGGGACCUUCAACAUUAUGUGUAAUAUAGCAAAGGAUGAAAAAUUAGAGGUGAAACAAUGUCACUAUAGAAGAUUUCAGAUACAUAUUAAAUCACAGAAAAGCAGAAUGGGGAGAGACUCACAGAGUCAUCGAGUUCAUUCCCUGUCCCAAAGUAAGACCUGCUAUUCUUGUGUUACUCCUGACAAGACUCUUGUCUAAGUUGUUCUUAAAAGUUAACAAUGCAUCCAGGCAAUCGAUUCCAAUAUUUGCUAUCAUCUGGGAGACAUCCUCAAACCCUAACGUGGUCCUGAAUCCUUGCUGAAAUUUAAAACCAUUACUUCUUAAUUUAUUCAACAUGAAGAAUGGUGAAAAACUGUCUCCAGUUUGCCUUCAUUUUCAUCUUAUCUUUAGUCUCAGGUAAAACGUACAAAUUGUUUUCCUAUGAACUGCGUCUGAUAGGUUCAGAUCUUUUCUGAAGUGCCUUGCCCCAAGAUGGACACCAGUAGCCUUACAAAGGCUGCAUAGAGAGGAGAUUAAGAGAUUACUCAUCUGUCGUAUACACAGUACCAUUGGUCAUAUUUCGUAGUAAAAUGUUUAUGUGUUUCACAACAGGGUGAGGCUGGCUAAGGUUUAGUGUUCAACCACUGUGGCCCAGUGAAGCUUGCAUAAAGGACAGCUGAGAUGUUGUUCUCUUCUAGUAUAUUAACAUCAAUUUUCUAGAUUUGACUAAGUAUGACUGUCUAUGUAUCCUUUGUGUAUUUUGCUCUGUUUUUUUUUUUCCAGUCUGUUUCUUCAAUUUAUCAGAAUAAUUAUGAAUCCUAUCUUGAAUAAUAUGAAGAAAGAAAGAAUAAAAGAGCCUAAUGGGGCACACUGGAAAGGUCUGUAUAAAAAGCAGUAGAACUCCUACCCAGGCCUAGAGAUUCUUGGAUGGGAUAUUGCUGUUGAACAAUAAAAAAGGCAAUCUAGCUGGAAAUAAAGAGGGUUAGAGAUUGUCUUAAUCAACAAGGUUUAUUUCAGUACAGUCAAGGCUAUUCACACAGUAUAUCUCAGUUUAUUGACAAGUAUCAGUGUGCCUGAGUGUGAGGAAACUUACUUGGAAGGAAACAAAGCAGAAAAUGAGUACAGUGAUUGCAGACGUUCUGUAUACUUCGAGCACAUUUCUCCUCUGUAGCGAAUUUUUCUGUAUCUCAUUGUAGGUGGAAAAAUGUAUUAAGAGAUACAACCUUAAUAGUACCUGAAUGCAGGUACUUUUGGCUCAUAAGUCAUUAUGUAUGUCUUGUCUUCAGUUUUUUAUGUGACAUUCUGCAUUGGUAGGAUUCUGUGAAAGCUACAGAAAUUCUUGGAAGCCAUUGAGUGUUGAAAGACCUGCUAAGUGAGUCCUCCCAGUUGAAAUGUGAUAGGAAAGCAGUCUUUUGGUAAAUACUAUAGAAAUAGGAGCUGUGAUAAUAUGAGACACAAACUAAUAGACAAUUGGAAAGGUGUUGAAACAGUGAAAAAAAAUCUGAUUUCUAGAAUAUAUACAAGUGAAACACAAGUCAGAGUGAAACCAGGCUUACAGCUUGGGAGAUGCACAGUAGAAAAGACAAAAUAGCUGCACUUGAAGAGUGGUGCAGCACUAGAAGAAGUUGCCCCGAGAGGCUAUGGACUCUGGAGGUUACAAGACCCAGCUAGACAAGGCAAUACCUGAUCUAAUCUGGUGUUGAUGCACUCGAGCAGGAGUAUUCAAAAACAGUGUUCAAGUCACUCAGCACACUUGAAGUAUUCUCAAAACAGAUGGAAUAAGCCAGUGCCUAAAAUAGCCCGUGGAAAAUAACUAGGGCCAGAACACAGAGAGUGGUGCAAUUCUGUAAGAAAUGAAAAGCAGUUUUGGCCAGUUGACUCUCACUCCUUGCCUGGGUUAAGAGUUUAGUAAUUUGUUUCUAAAAGUGUGAGAUUACUUUUUAGAGACCCAUAUCAGGUCACUGUUUUCUUCUGAGCAGAUUACUGGAAGUCUUAUCUGCCUAUCCAUUCCUGUUUUUUUGUUUAAGGUAGCCUGGAUUACUGUAUUGAUUGAACUCUGCUUUGGAUAGGGCAGUAUAUAGGGCAAAUGGAGUAAGAUGGGCUGAAAGGUAGAGUAUUUCUCAUCACAAAUGUUGAGGCACACCGAGGCUGUUUGUUGUGGCUCCACACUGACGCAGUUGGAUGAACUAGACUACGCUACAAUCAUGGACUGUAACACCCAGCAGGAAGAAAGAGACAAACCGUCUCACAGAACUUCUGGCUUGCUAGUAAUGUGGUGUCAGCCCGCCUCAUAGUGAAUGUGUAACACAUUGUACUUGUGCUCCAUCAACACAUUUACAGCCGUAUUUAUACCAAUGACCUUCACAAGGACCCGUGUAUGGUCACGGAGGACACGCUGCAUACUGUGAGCCUUACUGCUGUGUCUUGCUGGGCUAUACUGACCAAAAGAACAGUAUGGGAAGGAGGGUGAGUGGAAAAACACAAUGUUGAAAUAAAGUAACAUUCAUCUCUCUCCAAAUUGUUCCGACAAGUUUUUAUAUUGUGACAAAAGCAACCUUGUGACAUGUAAUAGUUCAGUCCUGCUACCUGUGAGAAGGCACUCAGACAGUUGGCACUCAGAGUGUCUUCUCUUAGUUCACAAGGAAAAAAAGUUAAGGCAUGUUUUUCAUGCAAUAUAUUGCCCUGGAUGCCUCAUGAGUGGCAAUACUAGCACAUUAGAAUACUGUAAUGCCUAGAUCUUGUAAUUUAAAAGGAUAGGAUCAAAUCCCAUGGCAGCAAAAUGCAUUUUUCUGGAUUUAUAAUACAAAUAUAUAUAUAUAUAUCCCCUUAUAAUAAAAGAAAUAUGUUAUAAUUUAAUAUAUUGUCUAGCUGUGCUGGAAAAAAUAAAUGCAAAUAUUACUUGUUCUACUCUGGUGGAUCAGAUUAGCUUGAUUUGUCAUCCUCUAAUUAUAAAUGUCCAAGGAAAUGCUGGGUGACAUCCAAGUAUGACAUCUCUGUAUACAGAUACCUGGGACAAAAAUUUCAGUCCAGGUACAGCUGUAUGUUUAGGACAUCAAACAGAUUAUGUGCAUCAAAUGAAUAAGGUACAUGCAUGUGUAUAGCUAUUGAAUCUGUGUGUCAUAGAGGAAUGCAGUGGAUCCUUUUUGGAACCAGAUAUGCAUGCAUGCAAGCAAACAUUCAUGAUAUGUCUAAAUAUAGUGAUCAUUUUGUUGAGAGAAACCUUUGGUCAUCUAGUAGUCUCUAAAGAGUAGCAGUAUGGUAUGUUAAAUAUGUAAGAAAAUGAAAGUUAGCUUAUUUGAGAAUAAAUUGAAUCUUCCAUAAGAAAAUAUAGUACCCAGACAUUCCAGAAGCUUAGGAAAAAUUUUUUCUCACCCUUAGAAGAGGAAGGUUAAAGUGAGGAACACAAGAUAAUGGGAAAGAGUGGGUCAUUCUAUCAGUUUUCUCACAGUUGUUAACAUCAGAUGGGGUUGUGAAUAAUAAGCUGUUUGACUGAGCUGAUAUGCUAUUCUAUCUCGUUUAGAACUAAGAGCUGUAUUACUCUGGAGGAAGAAAAAAACUCCAAAUGUAAAUAUGUCUUCAUAUUCAGGCCACAAAGUGUGAAUGCCAAAUCCUGGAUGCAAGCCAUUGAACAUUAAAGUGGUUGCCAAUGUUCCAGGUGCUCAUAAUUGAGCUAUAAAGGCAACACACCUUUUAGGAAGGUGGUAAGUAUAUGUCUGUCUUUUUAACAUGACUGCUUGAAUUAAUCUGAACUAAGCCUCAGCUUUACAGCAGUACGUUGGAAGAUUCUGAGGGGUAUAAUUUCAAUGCAGAAUUUACUUUAAAAAAGUUUAUUUUUCUACCAAAAAAUUUUCAGAGAGAAAACCUAAUGUGGGGAUAAUUUCUUAUGUCCAACCAAAAAACCAUCUGUAACAAAACCAUCUUUAAAGUUUAUGUUACUAGUUGUUACAUGGUUUUUCUUUAUUGUGCUGUAUGCAAAAGAUAGGUAAAUAUUAAUGCAGAUAACAGAUGGAAAACAUGGGUUUUGUGUUUAAUUUAUUUAUGUGUCGUAAUGCACCAAAUGAGCUGCCAAGCCGGGAUUAGAGUCAAGGGACUUUUUUGACUCCCAUUGCCAUGAAUUUACAUUUAGAAAACAAAUCUCUCAAUGCUGUACAUUUUUCUGUAUUUAAAAAAAAUUGUUUAUAAUCUUUGCCUAAUAUCAAUGUUACUGACAAAUACAAAAUCUUCUCUCUUUUUUCUUUUUUUUCCCCCAAGCAUUUAAUGUCCAACCUGCAAUGUGAUUACUGCUAGGAUUGGUGUAAACAUACAUAGCAGUAUGACAUUCACAGACCUAGUGAUUAGUAGUCCUGAUCUAAAUUGCUGAAAAAACACAUUUUCUUGUGUUUAAUAUGUUUUGGGGUUUUUUUUCCAGAGUCACUCUCAAGAUUGGUAAAAACCAAAAGGCUUGAGAUUUUUCUAAAGUUUAGGAGAUCUGGGUACAGAGUAUUGACUCAGAUUAUAGGGAUGGGCUCCAAAUGAGAGGUUGAGAUCUCUAUUGUUUUAGCAUGUGUUUUGAUCUGGACUGUGGAAAAUGUUUUUUUUUUUUCUAAUUUCCAAACAACUCUAUACAUUCCUGCUGAUAAAAUGCUGCAUACACAUGUGGUGAAUACUUUUAUCAAUACAAAUUUCCCAUCUAUAAUGCAUAUAAAGCUGACAUCUCAGCUAUAGCUCCAGAGACUUAAUUUGCUUCUGAAAUCAGCUCUGCUCUAUGUCAGGAAUAACAUACUGCCAUGGUAAUAAACUGUAAGCUCCCCUUUAUGAAAUGUUAAUAACCCCCUGGAUUCUGGCAAAUUCCUGCUCUUCCACAUGGUGCCAAUUAUAGUGAGACGAAAACAGAGGUAUAUAAAAACUUAGGCAUAUAGUCAGUUUUUGUCCUCAGGCAUGAAUAAUUAGGAUGAACAAGAACAAUCAUUAAUAUAGUAAAUUUUCUCCGUGGGUGCAUCUUCAUAUAUAUGAAAAAUGGGACUGUAUUGAAAAUAGAGUCUGAAUGCAGAGUCUGCAUUUAUUUUUCCUGAAAGCAUUUUACCUGAUUUUUUGUGUGGCUCAUUUUUGCAUAAAUGUAUCAUGACUGUGACAAACACAUGAAAAGCAAGUUUGAUGAGAGCUCAGUCCAACUACUAGCUCAUUGUGUGCUGUCAUGUAUUCUUCUUAUUAAAUUGACUAGUAUUCACAGCCUGGUAUUCCAUCUUUGCUAUUGAUAGAGGUAUCAUUUCACAUCAGGGCCUUAUGGUCAUAUUAUCCUUACUAAAACAGCAAUUGAGUAAACUGUAUUUCUACAAGGCCUGCCCCUACCACUCAAUACAUUUGGCAGGCAGGUUGAUUAUUGAGAAAUCUGAGGUAAAGGGCUCUGUUCUUUGUAAGGCCCAAUCAUGUUGCUGUCAGAGCGUAUAUGGCAGCUUUUUGUGUACUGUUAUCUAGUGGUAAAUAAAAAAGCAAGUAAGUCUGUCUGCCCAGUGUUCUGGACAGGACAGAGAAAAGAGGACAAACUUUGUAUUUCCCAAAUUAGAAGUGAUUAAAUGUCCUCUUCUUGUGUUGCACCCUCCUUAUGCCACUGUAUGUACUUAUGUGCCAUGCCUGAUUGGAAAAUGAGAUCAAGAGGUAUACAGAAACAGAUGUGGAUUUUUUGUUUGAAAAACAAGCUCUAAGUGAUUAAUUCUAGAUAAGAGUCUCUGAAAGUUCUAAUUAAAACUUAAAAUUUCUGUUUCUGUAUUAUCUGUCCAAACUCAUGGACAUUAUCUCUCUGACAUUUGAGUUGGAAGAAAGGACGGUAUGCAGAUA